UUGUGGCUCUUUUUCCACAUAGAAUAUGCAUACUAUUGAUAAAUCUAUGUUAAAGUUUGCGUACCACAUCAAAUAUUUUCUAUGUUCAUUGUAAUAUUGCUUUUAUAUUUUUCAUACAUCUUGACCAACAUGACCACAAUCUAUAAUCAAGAGCAGACAACUAUAUCAAGCAUUUUGACCCCAUACAAUCACACGUCUUUACACAGCUGAACAACAACAGGCCUUCUGGACAUCCAAGGACAAUGGCUUGGUAAAGGUGUCAAGCUCUUGGGUCAGGAAUUUUGGGUAAAGCUCCUACCCCCAGGGUACAGCCAGUCUAUCCAUGGAACUCCAAACUUCCCUGCUCAGGGGCCAAGACUACCUCAUCUACAAGGGACCUUAUCCUCACAAGUUCAGUCCCAGAGAAAAAUGUUACCCAACUGCAACACAGGCAAUACAUCUCAACAGAAUGUUCAUCUUGACAGUAUCUAAGAAAACUUCAAAAUUGAAUUCCGAUCUUGCACCAGGUCGAGUCUUCUACCAAAGUUUAACGUUUAACUCAGGUCCGUCAGUCUCUUGUGUAACAACCGAAGCUAAAGAUGAAGUGCCAUAGAGAGAAAUAGAGGUCACAACAGUAAGACAUGCAGAUAUUGCUGCUUCAGUCUCAAUAGCAACAUCAGCAGCAGCAGUAGCAAAAGCAGCAACAACACCCACAAUUCAACAAUCAACAGUGCCAUUGCUGAGCUCUUUCAAAUGUCGAGGAUUACCCAAAACCACUCGGUGCCAAGCAAUGAAAUUAUCAGCUGCCACUUGACAUGACCACUGUACACACCUGGGAGUCAGGUUUAAGGUCACAUCAGCUUAAAUGUUCACGGCAGUAAGAAAAUGAAAGAUCUUAAAGGGACUUGUUCACAGAUUGUGUGCUUAACAAGAUGACUGAACAACAUGGCAUCAAUGGCAGGGAAGAAGUGAUCAGGGGGGGGGGGUAAUCACGUGCAAGUCAAGAUGGCGACGUCCAUGCCAAGACUGAAAACCCUGAUUGCAAAGCGUAGAGUCUGCUCCGGAAUCAUUUGCACACAAGGCACAAACAUCAGCUGCAAUAAUCGUCUCGAUAUUCUGUCAUGGCCAUGUUGCAUGACCCUCAGUCUAUGAACAUAGAGAACCUUGGACACCCAUGGAAGAAAGAAAACUGGCCAAUCAGAAUUACAGCCUGUUGCAGCAGUUGUUACCAUAUUUUCCUCAGUCAAACCUGAGAAGCUUAGAGAUAUAUACUGUUUAAGAUGUGCUAGACUCUACAUACCUCCUGGUAUGUUCAGCACUUACUCUGACAGGUUUUAUCUUUGAAUUUUGUGACGGAUGGAAAAUAAAUGAGCUUGUUCACAUCGAAAUGGCAGAAUGACAUAUCACAACAAUUGAAGUGGAAAGCCAGAAAGUCAUGUGGACAGCCACGUUUUGUAUGUGACCAGCCAAGUUGUAUUCAAAGGAAAACACAAGUAUAUGUUUUAUGGGAAUUAUGAUACUGUCAGUCAUUUUAUGUUGAAAGUUUUGGUGAAAUAUAGUAUGUACAUUAUUAUCAUAAGCACACAUAUAACAAGUCUAUCCAAUGUCUUUGUCUGUAUUAUGAAACUUUCACUACAGACUUUGAUCCUGAUAAUGAUAACAUUUUAUUUUAAGAUUGUCAAAGCUGUUUAAAUGAUGGUGAUAAAUUGGAUAAAAUUGAGAAAAUAUUUAA